UCUUUAAACCACGAAUCGAACCCGGGGCGCCCGCGUGGCAGGCGAGCAUUCUACCACUGAACCAAAAG